rnacentral:rRNA from 1 species
UGGGGAAUUUUGGACAAUGGGGGAAACCCUGAUCCAGCCAUCCCGCGUGUGCGAUGAAGGCCUUCGGGUUGUAAAGCACUUUUGGCAGGAAAGAAACGUCAUGGGUUAAUACCCCGUGAAACUGACGGUACCUGCAGAAUAAGCACCGGCUAACUACGUGCCAGCAGCCGCGGUAAUACGUAGGGUGCAAGCGUUAAUCGGAAUUACUGGGCGUAAAGCGUGCGCAGGCGGUUCGGAAAGAAAGAUGUGAAAUCCCAGAGCUCAACUUUGGAACUGCAUUUUUAACUACCGGGCUAGAGUGUGUCAGAGGGAGAUGGAAUUCCGCAUGUAGCAGUGAAAUGCGUAGAUAUGCGGAGGAACACCGAUGGCGAAGGCAGCCUCCUGGGAUAACACUGACGCUCAUGCACGAAAGCGUGGGGAGCAAACAGG